AAGACCUACAGAAUGAGAACCUGUGGGGGGACCCGAAGGUGUGGGAUGCUCACUUGAGGUGAGUUCAGCGGGUGCCUGCCUGAGCUUACUCAACUGGUGGAAAUGAUUGGCUAAUACCAGAUAUGUUACCAUAAAAAGUGGGUCUGGACUUGUAUGGGAGCAGUUAGUCAUUUAAUGCCUGCAGAUAAAGUCACGCCCUCUGGAAUCCUGCAUUUUCAUCGUCACCAUCACCACCACCACCAUCUUCAUGGAUACUCUGUGACGGGCUCGGCGCAGUGUGCCGUCUGAUCCCUUCAGCACCUGUGAGUCUCAAUGCUCCACCUGUUCCUUUGAGAGUUGAUCCUCCCACCUCCUACCUUGUGAUUUUGACUGGCCAUCGAUUACAGUACAUCAUGUGCCCUCAUUCCAGGGAGGUCCAGGGUUCAGUUCUGACCCCUUAGUGCUCCAUCUCCAGGGACCAGCCCCCAACUCACACCAGAGCUCGUUCAGGUCCUUUCCUGCUGCUGAGCCCCUGCCCCAGACUGUCCUCACUCACCUGCACGGCCCAGGGCAGCCCAGUCCCGACUCCCGCGGUGUGCAGUCCCUCCAUGGUUUGCCUGGGGUCUCACUGCACCCCUGCCAAGAGGCUCUGGAAGGUGGCCUGGAGCUCCUGGGUGGACGUCUGCAGCUGAGAUUUGUGGGGAACAGCCUCUCCCUCCCUCUCCCCACAAGUCUCUUCAUUGGUGCCCGCAGAGCCCUAGAGGGCCGUUUGUCGCUGAGGAAAGCCAGCUUCAAGCCUAGCUCACCACAACUUAGCUGGAAGAUCCAUCCUCUAACUUCAGAUGGAGAUGCCUCUGUUGGAGCCCAGGCGUCAGCUGAUGGAUAGAGACAGCGGCCACAGGCACCCAGGGCUGUGCCACCAGCUCAUGACGCCUGCCCAC